rnacentral:rRNA from 1 species
UACGGGGGGGGCAAGCGUUGUUCGGAAUUACUGGGCGUAAAGGGCGCGUAGGCGGUUGGAUAAGUUCAGCUGUGAAAACCACGGGCUUAACUCGUGGCCUGCAGUUGAGACUGUCUGGCUUGAGUGUGGGAGAGGAGAGUGGAAUUCCUGGUGUAGCGGUGAAAUGCGUAGAUAUCAGGAGGAACACCGGUGGCGAAGGCGGCUCUCUGGACCACAACUGACGCUGAGGCGCGAAAGCUAGGGGAGCAAACAGGA